rnacentral:snoRNA from 14 species
ACCCAUUUUGUCCCUUCCUCAUAAGAUCUCCGUGCAAGUCUUGAUGGCUGUAAAGGGACAAAAGAGUACACUGACACUGGCUCCCAGCGAUGCAGUUUCCUAUAGAGCACUGGUCCAGAUUCAAACAGGU